AUUGAACGCUGGCGGCAGGCCUAACACAUGCAAGUCGAACGAGGGGCGGACGGGUGAGUAAUGUCUGGGAAACUGACCGAUGGAGGGGGAUAACUACUGGAAACGGUAGCUAAUACCGCAUACCAUACGAUGUGCCCAGAGGGGAUUAGCUAGUAGGUGGGGUAACGGCUCACCUAGGCGACGAACCCUAGCUGGUCUGAGAGGAUUACCAGCCACACUGGAACUGAGACACGGUCCAGACUCCGACGGGAGGCAGUAGUGGGGAAUAUUGCACAAUGGGCGCAAGCCAGAGGCAGCCAUGGCGCGGGUAUGAAGAAGGCCUUCGGGUUGUAAAGUACUUUCAGCGGGGAGGCGUUACCCGCAGAAGAAGCACCGGCUAACUCCGUGCCAGCAGCCGCGGUAAUAC
rnacentral:rRNA from 1 species